UUAGUCCAGUCCAGUGUGUUUAAUACUUUUGGUUUUUACUCAGGUUUUCUUACAUUGAGAAAAUUAGUUGACUUACACCAAAAUCAUGUUUUGUAGUGCAGUGUUGAUUAUUGUGUCCAUUAGCUACACUUUUUUAAUGAUAUAUACUCCUAAUCGUGUUCUUUUGCAGUUUUACUGUGGCUUAAUAGGUGAGAAAAAAGAUGAAAGUGCUGACUUAUCAAUAGGCAAGAAAGAAAAUGAGAAAACAAACAUAAAAAGCUGAUACCAAGAAUUCCUGUUACACUUGCUCAUGGAGAACAAGCUUGGCUUGAGACUUUCUAGUAGCUCAUUAAGUAAAAUCUGAUUCCUUACAUAAUUCAUGAGUCCAUUAAACUUUUAGUAUUUGUAAUAUUGAGGUCAGAAAAAUUAGUUCCCAAGUGUCUUCUAAAAGAUAGCACCAUGUUGUGUAAUUAAAGUCUUCAACAAUAGACCUAGAGCAGACAAAUGGAUUUUACAGGUCUGUUCUUGCAUGUAUUUUAACAUAAGCACACAAGAUUAAAAGAAGGGAGACUUUGAAAAAGAAAGUCUGCCAGGACAUUACAGUCCUGUCCUAAUACAGCACCCUUACUCUGUUAGCCUGGCUUGAUUAAAGGUGGUAGGCUAGAGCUGAAUAGCCCAAGUUGACUUCAGGCAGUCUUAACCACUGAUUAUGGUUCUUAGCUCAGUGUCAUCUGUUGAGUCAGAGAUUGUAAGACCUGGAGAGAGUCCUGGAGGAGUGGAGGAUUCGUAGUAGAAUCACUUGGGGAAUUUAAGAAAAACCUGUUGGGCUUAUCACAAGAGAUCUUGAUUUACAGUAGCUGGCCUGCAAUAGAAGACAGGUGUAGGUCAUGUCCUUAAAUUUCUCCAGGUGGUUCUAAUAUACAGAUGGAGUUGGAAACCAUUGUCUCUGAGAAUGGCUAGUCUACUCUUCAAAGCAUGACAAGUGCAUAGCUGUUUUUUAAUAUAUAGUUUAUAGGCAUUUGGGAAAGGAAGAUGGGAUUUAAAGUGUUUGAUAUGACUGUUAGCACUAAGAGCUGAAUGUCUUGUGUGGUGUGUUAAAUUGGAUACUUACAAUGGCCAUCAUUGACUUACUAAAAACAUAAAGGAAAACAUUCAGUUUUUUAAUUAAAUUAUCUCGUGAAUAUAAUUUGAAGAAGUUUUAAAAGAAUAACUUUAUCAUUCACUGAACUGGCUGAAUUAUUGUAUGCAUAAAAUCUUUUGUUCUGAGCUUUCUUCCUUAGUUUAUUAAAGCAGUCUAUUCUUUUCAAAAUUUCUAUGCAGCCUUAAACGUUCAUCCAGGUGUUAUAUAAAUUAAAUAAAGGAGU
ensembl:lncRNA